AACCCCAGCUCCAGGGGCUCAGCAGGCAAAGGGAAUCACUGAGUGGGGGCACCACCCGUGGACUCCAAUAUCUCAACCUCUCCCUCCACAGGUUGGAGGUGGGAGGAACAACCCCCACCAAACCCAGAGCCGAAAACUGAGGGAGUUUUACAGACAGGACGGAGCUCCUGCACCUCGGAGCCUCAGUUGGGAAUGACCUGGGGUCUUGUCCUGAAGCUGAGUCUGGUGAACGUGCCCCAUUUGUAACAUGAGGGGUACUUCUCUGGAGGGACUGUAUGUUGACAGUGGCAGAGUGGAGCCCUGAAGUCCACCUGAGUGAAUAUACCAGGGCUUGAGAA
rnacentral:lncRNA from 1 species